CCAGCCCGCUCAGAAACUUAAAUGAAUUGACGGGGGCCCGCACAAGCGGUGGAGCAUGUGGUUUAAUCGAUGAUACGCGAGGAACCUUACCUGGGCUCAAAUGUAUGUUGACGUAUUCUGAAAGGGAUACUUCUUCGGACAAUAUACAAGGUGCUGCAUGGUUGUCGUCAGCUCGUGCCGUGAGGUGUCGGGUUAAGUCCCAUAACGAGCGCAACCCCUAUCAUUAGUUGCCAUCAGGUCAAGCUGGGGACUCUAAUGAAACUGCCUACGCAAGUAGUGAGGAAGGUGGGGAUGACGUCAAAUCAGCACGGCCCUUACGUCCAGGGCUACACACGUGCUACAAUGGCCGGUACAAAGGGCAGCUACCUGGUGACAGGAUGCUAAUCUCAAAAGCCGGUCUCAGUUCGGAUCGGAGUCUGCAACCCGACUCCGUGAAGCUGGAAUCGCUAGUAAUCGUGGAUCAGCAUGCCACGGUGAAUACGUUCCCGGGCCUU
rnacentral:rRNA from 1 species